AUGAAUAUAAUUUUAUUUAGUUAGGCCGUGACUGGCCUCCCACAUCAGUACAGUAGGUGGCAGUGUGUAUACACCAUAAAAGUUGGACGCGAUCAACCAACCCAAUCCCAAAGAAGAAGAAAAAUAAGAAAUAGAAAUAGAAAUGAAUUACCGAAAUCCACAUACAAUUUUCGUUCAUAUCGAUUCCACCCACUAGGGGGCAGUCAAGAUCGCUUUCUGUGUUGAGGGCUUCCGUUUUUCCUGCCCUGUAUUUUUCAUCUGCGGACUCAGGGUUACUGAAAUCAAACGGAAGAGAUCUGUUAAAUGGUCGAGGUUUUGAAUUUGUUUAUUGUUUGAAGACCUUCACAAGAAGGCACUAAAAUGGGCAGGCAAGCAUCCAUGUCACCAAAAUAAAAAGCUUGAUAUUUAUUGGAAAGAAGCAUCAAGCUCAUCACUAUGCUUUCACUACCCUUGAAAGUUCAUAGUGGGAGGAUCACAUAACAUAGACUAUCAUCGUGGGACUUAGAAAGGAUGCUUAUUUCAAUAUUUGCACAUAAAAUAAUUUCCACUGCCAUUUCUUGCAUAAUUAAUUUUACAGACACAUAAAGAUCCAACCUUGUCUGGCAUGGUUUGUCAAUUUAUAAUGUUUAUGGACAUAUUUGCUGUUCCCAUCAGGACAUUUUUUUUAAUCCAACGUACUUUACUCGCAUAAAAAGGUAGGAUGGAAACCUGCUUAGUGUCAAAAUGUGUGUAUUGUUUACAGAGGAAGACAUGCAGGGCAAGACCAAAGAGGAGAUUGAGAUGAUGAAGAUUAUGGGCUUCGGCAACUUUGACACCACAAAAGGAAGGAAGACCGAUGGCGCAGUCCAUGCACAUGCUAUCAAUGUGUCCCAGAAGAGGAAAUACAGGCAUGCUGAUUGAUUCAUUGUCUUUAGAAACUACAAGAGGUGUUAUGUGGUUUAUCAUUUCACAAAUAACAUUCAAAACUGCCCGCAAGUAUUCGUGUAAAUGCUAUAAUAUAGACUGCAUCUAUUAUUCAUAAUAUUGCAUAUGAGUGGGACUGCAUAUUCAGUAUCUAGUCCUUCAUGUUUGGCUAUUCUUUAUUUUCCAUCACAUUCUGGCCACCUGUAAUUAAGUAGCAUAUCUUGUUGAUGUAUGCGCCAAAUAGCAUGGUUUGUUUAUAAAUCAACAGUUGCAACUGCAAGACACAAGUGCCUGGCUGAUAUUGAGCAGUCUGAACAGUGCUCAUUCUCACUGGAGCCAAUCACUUCUGCAGGUGUUUCUAUGCAGACAGAUCGUCUCUCCUAUUGGUGGAUGAUGAUGUAAUGUACAAGUGCUGCAAGGGUAGCAGUGAUGUAACGUUUCCCCCUCUCUUUUCAGGCAUUGCUUGAAGUAGGAUAAACAACAGACUCAUUGAUGUUACCUAAAAUGUACUUGCCUUGUGGUCUCUCUUUACUGUGACACUGUGUGUUUUGGUGAUAAAGUUUUUUAAAAAUGGUAUAGUCUGUUCCUUUUAUAUUUAUUGACUCCCUGCACUGCAUAUAAGUUCUGCAAAUACUCAUGCGACUGAAUAAGUAAAUGUUUCUGUAAUAUCAGUUUUGUUGAUUUAUUUUAAGAAUGAGCCUUGUUAACAACAUGCCUGGGUUAAUAUGUGUUUCAUAAUGCAUUUUAACAUGUUUUUGAUUCAGAUUAAAAACUUACAUUCAGAUCAUG